rnacentral:rRNA from 1 species
AGAGUUUGAUGAUGGCUCAGAUUGAACGCUGGCGGCAUGCUUAAUACAUGCAAGUCGAACGGUAACAUGCCCUCCGGGGUGAUGACGAGUGGCGGACGGGUGAGUAACGCAUAGGAAUCUACCUAGUAGUGGGGGACAACUUGGGGAAACUCAAGCUAAUACCGCAUACAUCCUACGGGAAAAAGAGGGCCUCUUCUUGAAAGCUCUUGCUAUUAGAUGAGCCUAUGUCAGAUUAGCUUGUUGGUGGGGUAACGGCCUACCAAGGCGACGAUCUGUAGCUGGUCUGAGAGGAUGAUCAGCCACACUGGGACUGAGACACGGCCCAGACUCCUACGGGAGGCAGCAGUAGGGAAUAUUGGACAAUGGGCGCAAGCCUGAUCCAGCAAUGCCGCGUGUGUGAAGAAGGCCUGCGGGUUGUAAAGCACUUUCAAUUAGGAAGAAAAGCUCAAGGUUAAUAACCUUGAGUCUUGACAUUAUCAAUAGAAGAAGCACCGGCUAACUCUGUGCCAGCAGCCGCGGUAAUACAGAGGGU